UCUUCUUUAUCAGAGUGGUCUAACGCGUGUGACUCGAAAUCACAUCUCUUCGGAGGCGCCCGUUCGAAUCGGGCCAGUGUCG